UGAGGAAUAUUGGGCAAUGCCCGCAAGGGUGACCCAGCAACGCCGCGUGGAGGAUGAAUGUCGUAAGAUUGUAAACUCCUGUUAGAGGGGAAGAAUAGUACCGGUUGGACCGGUAUAUGACUGUACCCUCAGAGAAAGCCCCGGCUAACUACGUGCCAGCAGCCGCGGUAAUACGUAGGGGGCAAGCGUUGUCCGGAUUUACUGGGUGUAAAGGGCGCGCAGGCGGGAUAAAAAGUCAGUGGUGAAAUCCUACAGCUUAACUGUAGAACUGCCUUUGAUACUGUUAUUCUUGAGUUCGGGAGAGGGAGACGGAAUUCCAGGUGUAGUGGUGAAAUACGUAGAUAUCUGGAAGAACACCAGUUGCGAAGGCGGUCUCUUGGUCCGACACUGACGCUGAGGCGCGAAAGCGUGGGGAGCAAACA
rnacentral:rRNA from 1 species